CAUAGACUGAAAGAGAGGCAAAUCCAAAUUACCUUAGAGACUUGUAGAAAGAAAGUAGCUGCACAAAGGAGAAAGAUAUUCAUCUUCCAGGUGUGGCGAUCUGGGAGGACUUCACAGAGUUGAUGUUAAAGCUGACGCCUGGUGGGUAGAAGCAGUUCUGAUAGCUUCCCCUUGGCCUUUCCUACCAUAAUAGCUCUCACUAGGUCAGAUGAGAAGAUACGUCAAUUGGUAGCUGUCCAGUUUUCCCAGUUGCACUUAUUGAAGAGAAUGUCUUUUCUCCAUGGUGUAUUCUUAUCUCCUUUGUCAAAGGCACCUAGCCCAUUCUGGGCUCAAGGAGUCAGAGGAAGUAUGCAACAAGGAGAAAGCAAAUGAAUUCUUUCUGGCAGUCUUUGCUAAAGGUUCAGCCUUUGGAGAAAAAUUUCUGGAAAAUAGUUAAAUGUUUGAGAGAAAUAUCAUGAGAGAAAGAGAAAGCAGGACACUUUCCACCCACCAGACGAAAGUUUCACAGCUGAAACAAAGAGGUAGAGAAUGAAACAGACAAGGAG
ensembl:lncRNA